rnacentral:lncRNA from 1 species
UUCUGUUUAAAACCCCGCCCACAGAGAGACCAACCAAUCAGAAGACUUCUCUGCCGGCUUCAGCGUCACAACAACAGCAGUGAAAACAGAUCCGCGCCCACGAGCAGUGAUUCUGGAGGAUUUAUCCCAGACUGAAGAGAAGAUGAUCCUGCUGCUCCUCAUCCUCACCUCCUCAGCAGCAGCACUUGAAGUGAAGGAGACACAGAGCUCCUAUCAGGCAGAGGAGAACCACAACAUCACACUGGAGUGGACGUUCCCCACAGACACUCAGACUAAGACUGAGGACAUUUAUGUCCUCUGUUCUCAUUUAACCAGACAGAAAGAAUCAGACCUGUAUCAGGUCCAUGCUGGUGUUGAGCUCUCAGAGUCUGUGGAUGAAGGUUUUUCAGGAAGAGUCCAGAGUGACACAGACGCCCUCAGAGAAGGACGAAUCAGACUUCAUCUGUCCAGACUCAGGACUGAAGACUCUGGUCUGUAUGUGUGUGAUGUGAGGACAGCUUCUGGUUCUGGUUCUUCCAGCUGUGAGCUCACAGUCUCUGCAGCUCCUGAUCCGUCUGAACCUGAGAUCACAGCUGAUCCACCAAACGCAGCAGGAAGAGGAAGGACGGGCCUCUACUGUGCACUGACAGCAGCUCUGCUGGUUCUGUGCUUCCUGUUGUGUUGUGUGUGUUCCAUCACUGUGUGCCUACAACAGAGGAUUUCUACAGCCCCGAAGCCUCAGACACAGUUUCCAGUUCAGGAGAAUCAGUUGGAUCAAACAUGUAAUAGAGUAGAAAUACUUUAUUCAUCCCAAGCUGGGACAUGUCUCAAUAAUCAGACUGUUGGCUUCACUUCCUCAUGUUGAACACACUGAGUUCACGAUCAAAUGAUGGACCGAAGGACAGAAGUGCUGUUAGUUUGAAGGUCCAACCUGCACUGUGGUCACUUUAUUGCUGAGAAGCACGUCUACCUCACAUCCAUGUGAUGAGCAGCUGCCAUACAUGACUCCAUCACUGGGAUCAACUGCAGUUCUGAAGAUUCUGGAAGUGACAAUAGCACCUGUAGACUCAGCGUCACUGGAUUCACUUCAUCACUGUUGCACUGACUGCAGACUGAAAGCUGCCAACACACACACAGAACUCUGUCCACCAGCAGACAGGACCCAUCACUGGAUGGUAGCAGCAGGAGAAUGUUAAACAUGGAUCCUGACUGUUUGUACUGUUUCUUUAUCUUUUCUUCUUCUUCCUCUGCUGACGGCCUC